AGAAAUUGUAAUCGAGCGGUCACCACAAAAACAAUUUCAAAAGAAAAGCAAGAUGGUUCCGAUGGUUUUGAAGAUAUUGUGGUUCUGGAGUGUAAGGACGAUGGCUGUAACAGUAAGACUGUUUACUCCGUUCCGAGGAUCAGGGUUCCGAUACGGGUUCAGGAUUGUACAGGGAUUGUGACGCUCACCCUAUUUGAGCGUGAGGUGCUUAAGCUGUUGAAGGUUAACGCGAGUCAGCUGUUGGAUAAGAACCUUGAUUUAGCUAACGAAGGGCAUUUUCCGCA